rnacentral:lncRNA from 10 species
CGUAGCAAAGGCCUCCAACACCUGGCCGCCGCCAUCUUUGCCCGCGAUUCCGGACCCAGAGGUCAACUUAAGCAAUUGUCCUUGCCCUCUUGCUGUAGGGACCAAUCGGAAAGCGGAAUCUGAGCCAGUCUGGGAAAGGACGAUUCUCAGUGGGCGUGGGUUAUGUUGCGUCAUUCAUGGUUUAGCCAAUCAUAUAACUUCUCCAGUCGUGGUUUCCUGCGUUUGUAGAUGGAAGGAAGAACUUGUGUGCUUAGACCUGACGCUGGGAGGAGAUGCUGCCACCUAGGUUACUUGUAGGACCCUAUACGGCAACCUCCUUUGCCAGGAACUAUUUAUAAACAUCCUGCAGGAAAAUGGUAGCUGAGACCAAUGAUGCUGACCUCCCUCAAAAGCUGCAUUUCUGAAUUUCUGAAGGCAAACUGUCUGCCUAUAUUGUACAGCAAAAUAAUUUCCUGUAUUAAAACGUUUUUAUUGCUCUAAAUUUCUAGAUUAAACUCUGCUUAGGUAUUGCUAAGAGGGUAGCCAAGUAUAGAAACUUAAAUUUACUGACAGAAAUCUAGAGAAUGCUUAAUUUUUUUUCCAGCAGUGAAGUAGAAGAGACAGGGAUAUCCCAGAAGGUUAUGCAAAACAUCAAGAGAAGAUGAGAGGAGUCUAUAUGUCAGAAUACACAUUUCCCACCUUGCCCAACAGUAGAAAAACAUAAGAAGAGAAAAACAUUAAAAAAUGACAAGGAAGUUAAUGGAAGUCAGCAAUGUGAUGGUGUUUGGAGGUGGAGCCUUCAGAAGGUAAUUAAUGCCCUUGUAAGAAGAGGCCAGAGAGCUUGCGCACCUUCUUCCUGCCAUGUGAGGAGCCAAGAAGCCGGCUGUCUGCAACCUGCAAGAGGACCCUCACUAGAAGCUAGCCAUACUGGCAUCCUCAUCUUGGCUUUCCAACUUCCAGAACUGUGAGAAGUAUAUGUUUGUGGUUUAGUCAAUGGUCUAUGGUAAUUUUUUUAUAGCAGUCCCAGCCAAGACAGUGCCUCAUUUACUACAUACCAUUUAUAUUAUUAUAUAGGCUCCUUUCAGAAACCCAUGUUCAAAUAAGAGAUAAGAUACUGAAACACAUAACACCUUCACUAGUUUUUAGUAUACAAAUAUUGAGAAAUAGUUUGUUAUUAACUAUCUCAUCCAAGAAAUGCAGAUUCAUGUUGUUUCUAAUUUUUUAUAUAUAAUUGACAAAAUGAAGAAACUUAACACCAUCCUAGAUUUUAGCUGCCCAAAGAAUGAAAAGAAUGAAAAAAAAAUCUUUGAAAACCCACAAGUGAUAUGGAUCUAAUUUAUGGUUAAAUAGAUAUAGAUAACAAACAGAAUACGCCUGUUUAAAACUGUUAAAAUGACAUUGGUUCUAAUUAUACUUUUAUUUAAAUUGAAAGACAAGGCAUUUAUAUGGUAUCUCUAACCAUCACAACUUUUGUGUGACAAAAAGAAAUUAUCACCAAAAUACACCUCCUUAAGUAAGUGUCUGAUUUCACACUUCCAGAAAAAGUGCUCUUUCUGGUCAAGCCAGCAAGAAUUGAGAAAGAUUAAGAAAGUGCUUCAAAGAUGUUUAUUAAAAAGUUGUCAUAAAAAUGUGAAGUAGAUGUAGCAUCAAGCAUACCAAAUAAAGUAAAACUGUCAUCAAGAAGAUUCAACAGCUAUGAAAAGAGUUCUUCAAAAUAUGAUAUGUUUUUCUAGAUGAUAAUAAAAUUUAUCAAUUCCAAAUGUCCACAUUAGUCUUUCAUAAAGACACCAAUGAGUCACAGGAAAAAAAAUUAAAAAUAAAAAAACCCUAUCUCAGGGAAUCAUGCUAACAACCUGAUGUGUUUUCUUCCACAUAUUUAUGUCUGCUUAUAAGUAUUUACAAACAUAUAUUCGCAUAUAUGCAUUUUGAAUUUUUUCUGUUGCUGCACUUAAAUUUUUUUCAUAAUAAAACAAGACUCCUGCAAUUUGCUUUUUUAGGUAGACUAUGUAUCCCUGACAACCAUCCAGGUCAGCUUGAUGAUUAACACAUUUGUUUUAAUAGCUACAUAGUAUUCUAUAAGUAUGAUUUAUUCAAGUGUGUGUGUGUGUGUGUGAGAGAGAGAGAGAGAGAGAGACAGAGACAGAAAAAGAGAGACAGAGGAGGAUAUUCAGGGGUUCUGUCCACUACAACAUUUUGUCACAGGCAACAGUGCUGAAAUGAAAACACUUGAACACAUAUUUUUAUGAUUUUACUUUUUAUGAUUUUCAAAAGUGUGUUUGCAAGGUCAAAGAAUAGAUGUGUUGCUCUUAAUAAAUAUCAAAAGAUUAUUUACUACUACCCAAAUUAUACUGUAAUUUCUUCUUGAACCGUUUAAUUUGUAUCCUCCUAUCAGUGAGGUUGAGAAAUAUUUUAUGCUUACUGACUUUUGCAAUAUUUCUUUCACGAAUUAUUGCCAUUUUCUAUUGUCCAUUUUUCUGUUAGGCUCUAUGAUUAGCUUAUUAGGCUUUGUGGUUUAUAUGCAUCAGAAAGAGUAAGACUUAAUUUUGUGUGGAACAAAUACCCUGGUGUAGCAUGUUUCAUUAGAAUUUGUUUAUAGAGAUAUUUGCCAUAGAAAAGUUAUUUUUUAUUAGUAAAGAAUGCUUUGUAUUUCCUUUGUGGCUUCUAAGUACCCUUUUUUGGUUAUUAUACCUUUAUCCAUAAGUAUCUUUAAAUAUUACAAAAAUUACAUAUUCUUUUAAAUAUUUUAAAGAUUUAUUAUAUUCAUUUAGGUUUUAAUCCACUUUUAAUUUUUUAGAUGAAAAGUAAGAGAAAAGUAUAUAAAUCAUGAGCACAAAUUGAACUAACCAAGGUAACAAUCAAUCUGCUCAAGAAAUUGAGCAUCACCACCACCUCCUCCUGCACUGUCCAAAUCAGCACCCCAGUACUCCAAAGCAAAUGUUACUCACUACACUGACUUCUAACACAAUAGACUUGUUUUGUCUGUUUUCAACUAUACAAAAAUGAAUCAUAGAGUAUGUGUUGUUUUGUAUUUGGCUCCUUUCACUAAAAUUUUGGUUUAUAAAAUUCAUCCAUGUGGUUGAACACAGUUGUAGAUUGUUCAUUUUAAUUGUUUUACAGUAUUUAUUGUGUGACUAAAACACUACUUAUUUAUUCUAUAAUUGACAGACUUUGGGUUGCUUUUGCUUUGGGAGUAUAAACAUUUUUAUAUCUAUGCUUUAGGUACAUGUUCAUGAAUUUGUGCUGAAUAAUUACUUGAGUGUGAAAUUGUUAUGUUAUGCGAUAUAUAGUAGUCAAAUAUAGAAGAUAAUGCAAAACAAUUUAAAGUGAUUGUAGCAGUUUGCUGUAUUCUACAGCAGCAGAUUGUAGCAGAUUACUGUAUUCUACAGCAGCAGCAUGUGAGAUUGCCAGUUGCUCAAAUUCGUGCCAAUACUUGGUAUUUUUUAUCUUUUAAUUUUAGACAUUCUGGAGAGUGUGUAGUAAUUUUUCAUCUUGGAAAAUUACAUUAAAUUAGUAUCCAUUUCUCUAAUUUUGAUAACAUUUUCAUAAGUUUAUUGUUAUUAGAUAUUUUCUUUAUUUUGAAGUGCUUAUUGUCCAUUUUACAUUGGGUCAUCUGUUAUUGAAUUGUAAACAUUCCUUGAAUAUUUAAAUAUGAGUGCUUGGUCAGUUUUUGUCACAAAUAUCCUCUUUUUUCACUUUUUGCCCUUUUAUUAUUCUGAAAAUGCCAAUUGAUUAAAAUUAAUUUUACUAUUGUUCAAUAUAUCAUGCUUUGUUUUUUCACAGUGUGUUUUGUGUCCUGUUUAAGAAUUCCUUCUCUCAUUUGGCAUUCAUUUGGCAUUCAUUUGGCUUGGCAAAAUUGGCG